UGGUGGAGUGAUUUGUCUGGUUAAUUCCGUUAACGAACGAGACCUUAUUCUGCUAAAUAGUUACGUUAACUUUGGUUGACGGUCAACUUCUUAGAGAGACUAUGGAUGUUUAAUCCAUGGAAGUUUGAGGCAAUAACA
rnacentral:rRNA from 1 species